AGUCGAACGCAGUAGCAAUACUGAGUGGCAGACGGGUGAGUAACAUGUGGGAAUCUGCCUUGUGGUUCAGGACAACAUUGGGAAACCGAUGCUAAUACUGGAUAAGCCCUUACGGGGAAAGUUUUAAUGCCAUAAGAUGAGCCCGCAUUUGAUUAGUUAGUUGGUGAGGUAAUGGCUCACCAAGACAAUGAUCAAUAGCUGAUCUGAGAGGAUGAUCAGCCACACUGGGACUGAGACACGGCCCAGACUCCUACGGGAGGCAGCAGUGGGGAAUCUUGCACAAUGGAGGAAACUCUGAUGCAGCGAUGCCGCGUGAGUGAAGAAGGCCUUUGGGUUGUAAAGCUCUUUUGUAGGGGAAGAUAAUGACUGUACCCUAAGAAUAAGGUCCGGCUAACUUCGUGCCAGCAGCCGCGGUAAUACGAAGGGACCUAGCGUAGUUCGGAAUUACUGGGCGUAAAGCGCGCGUAGGCCGUUGAGUUAGUUAAUUGUGAAAUCCCAAAGCUUAACUUUGGAACUGCAAUUAAAACUGCUCGACUAGAGUUUGAUAGAGGAAAGCGGAAUACAUAGUGUAGAGGUGAAAUUCGUAGAUAUUAUGUAGAACACCAGUUGCGAAGGCGGCUUUCUGGAUCAA
rnacentral:rRNA from 1 species